UACGAAGGGGGCUAGCGUUGUUCGGAGUUACUGGGCGUAAAGGGCGCGUAGGCGGCGCACCAAGUCAGGCGUGAAAGCCCUGGGCUCAACCCGGGAAUUGCGCUUGAGACUGGUGUGCUUGAGUACGGGAGAGGAUAGUGGAAUUCCCAGUGUAGAGGUGAAAUGCGCAGAUAUCAGGAGGAACACCAAUGGCGAAGGCAGCUCGCUGGGACGGUACUGACACUGAGACGCGAAAGCGUGGGGAGCAAACAGG
rnacentral:rRNA from 1 species